rnacentral:hammerhead_ribozyme from 1 species
AUGCAGCUGACGAGUCCCAAAUGGGACAUAACGCGAGUCUUGGAU